GUUAGAAAAGGGGUUGGGGUCUGUUUAUCCAUACCUUAUCUUAAAUAUUCCGACUACAGUACAAAUAGCAAAUCAAACUCGGCAUCAAACUACGUACUGUUCCAGUACUUCGUAUUAAUAUACAACUAAAUGAACUAAUUAUUAAAAAUUAAACUGACCUUUAAACAGAAGAAAUUGAUUGGCUUGUAUAUAUUGGUUUCUUUGUCAUAUAGUUCAAUUGCUGUUGCUUGUAAAUGUUUUAUAAACCAGUACUGCCAUGUAGCGAAAUUUCGGGCCGUCUUUCACAACAAAUAACAUCACAAUAACUGCACAUCUUUUUCUCUUUAAUACAGAAUCGUUUUCCCCGUCCAUUGAGUUAUAAUUUGCAAAACUAACCAGUCGCUAUAACGUAAAAUAAGCGGGUAUUUGUGAACAAAAAUGCCCUUUGAUAUGACACGAGGUAACCGGCGCCAUCUUGUCUUCUCCAAACAUUACAGAUUUUCCCGCCAAAACCCGCCACCGAAGUCCCGUAUGUAAAUGACGUCAAAAGUGUUGUGAACGGG
rnacentral:lncRNA from 1 species